GUGGGCUCCCAAGCAUUCGGACUGAAAAGGAGGGUGGGUCCCCUGCCCGGGUCCCUAAGUGUUAAGAAGCGAAACAGCCACCGAUAAAAGGAUGAAGAUUUUAGAUUUUCUGUCCAUCAGAAUCUCAGCCUACUGGAAGAGACAGGUCUCUCAUUCCAUUGGAACACUCCUGCACAACCUUCAAUGUGGUGCGGUUGGGGAGGAGAUGAAAAAAGAAC